rnacentral:lncRNA from 1 species
GUGUGGAACGGUGCCUGACACACUGUUCGUUUAUCUGUUCUUUGACCACGGUCCUGAAGAAAUGCCCAGGAGGAUUGACGAGAUUGAGGUCAAGAUCGUGGCCCAGUGUGUGGCGCUCCAAGCCAGCUCUUCCCCUUUCAAAACCAGAAAAGCCGCAUGUUUAGAUCGCUCUAGGAGAUUCAUCUCCAUUACGAUACAGGAUAUGGGCUGUUUGAAAACUAUUUCAUCAUCUUUAUCAUCAUCAUUCAGUUCAGCCACUUGAGAUUUUCGCCUCUCCAAAAAUGUUGGUGUACAAACUGGUGUGGGGCCCUGGAUUCAACAAGUAAAGAUUAUAAUACAUAAAUGUAAAACAUGAUUAUGACUUUACCCAAAAAUAUCAUCUCUCCUCUAUUUUUACAAGUUGUGCCCCAUUAUUUUAGCUCUGUUACCAUCUUUUGGUGAUACUAUUGCAAAGAAUAAAGAACUUAGAUGCUUAUCAAACUUGGUACAGAAAUUCACAAUUAACAAAUAUAGCAUGUUCCAUUAUAAGGUUUUAGGCAGAAAAUUGCUAAAUCAACAAUAAAGAUCUACCAAAUGUCACAAUAUUUAAUUUGAAAUCUUAAAAUGAGAGUAGCAGAAACUGCUUCUCCUCCUUCAAAUUAUUUCUAUAAUAUCUGGUGUCUGGAGUAUUGAAAACCAUUUUACCUGGCUAUCCACAGUCUUCUCAGGAGUGUCAAGAGUACCUGAAACUUUUUUCUUCUUCUUACGUAAAACCUUAAAAUAAAUUUUAAAACACAUCAAUUUGAAUAUUGAUCAGCUACAGUAGUCUUGAAUAUGUUUUCCUACUUAUCCUUCUCUAAUAUCUUGCAUGUAAAAUGAUAAAAAAAAUUUUACCUGGCCUUUUGUAGACGUCUGACGAUUAGUUUUUGAAAUACUUUCCGUUUUCUGUAAAAUCUUUAAUAAAGAAGUUAGAAAUUGAC